rnacentral:rRNA from 1 species
UGGGGAAUCUUAGACAAUGGGGGAAACCCUGAUCUAGCCAUGCCGCGUGAGCGAUGAAGGCCCUAGGGUUGUAAAGCUCUUUCGCCAGGGAUGAUAAUGACAGUACCUGGUAAAGAAGUCCCGGCUAACUCCGUGCCAGCAGCCGCGGUAAUACGGAGGGGACUAGCGUUGUUCGGAAUUACUGGGCGUAAAGCGCACGUAGGCGGACCGAAAAGUUGGGGGUGAAAUCCCAGGGCUCAACCCUGGAACUGCCUCCAAAACUGCCGGUCUAGAGUUCGAGAGAGGUGAGUGGAAUUCCGAGUGUAGAGGUGAAAUUCGUAGAUAUUCGGAGGAACACCAGUGGCGAAGGCGGCUCACUGGCUCGAUACUGACGCUGAGGUGCGAAAGCGUGGGGAGCAAACAGGAUUAGAUACCCGUGUAGUCC